rnacentral:misc_RNA from 1 species
AGCAGCCGCGGUAAUUCCAGCUCCAAUAGCGUAUAUUAAAGUUGCUGCAGUUAAAAAGCUCGUAGUUGAAUUUCGGGACCAUCAUGUCGGUCGUGCCUCGGUACGUACUGGUAUUGUUGGUUUCUCCCUUCUGACGAACCAUGAUGUCAUUUAUUUGGUGUUGUGGGAAAUCAGGACUGUUACUUUGAAAAAAUUAGAGUGUUUAAAGCAGGCUCACGCUUGAAUACAUUAGCAUGGAAUAAUGAAAUAGGACGUUUGAUUCUAUUUUGUUGGUUUCUAGGAUCGACGUAAUGAUUAAUAGGGAUAGUUGGGGGCAUUAGUAUUCAAUUGUCAGAGGUGAAAUUCUUGGAUUUAUUGAAGACUAACUACUGCGAAAGCAUUUGCCAAGGAUGUUUUCAUUAAUCAAGAACGAAAGUUAGGGGAUCGAAGACGAUCAGAUACCGUCGUAGUCUUAACCAUAAACUAUGCCGACUAGGGAUCGGAUGAUGUUAAUUUUUUAAUGACUCAUUCGGCGCCUUACG